GACGAACGCUGGCGGCGUGCUUAACACAUGCAAGUCGAACGGAAAGGCCCUGCUUGCAGGGUGCUCGAGUGGCGAACGGGUGAGUAACACGUGGGUGAUCUGCCCCUUACUUUGGGAUAAGCCUGGGAAACUGGGUCUAAUACUGGAUAGGACCAUGCUGUAGGUGGUGUGGUGGAAAGAUUGGUUUCGGUAAGGGAUGAGCUCGCGGCCUAUCAGCUUGUUGGUGGGGUAAUGGCCUACCAAGGCGUCGACGGGUAGCCGGCCUGAGGGGGUGGACGGCCACAUUGGGACUGAGAUACGGCGCAGACGCCUACAGGAGGCAGCAGUGGGGAAUAUUGCACAAUGGGCGCAAGCCGGAUGCAGCGACGCCGCGUGGGGGAUGACGGCCUUCGGGUUGUAAGCUCCUUUCAGCCAUUACGAAGCCCUUGUGGUGACGGUAGUGGUAGAAGAAGCACCGGCUAACUACGUG
rnacentral:rRNA from 1 species